rnacentral:rRNA from 1 species
CAGGCGGCAUGCUUACCAUGCAGUCGAACGGUGAACACGGAGCUUGCUCUGUGGGAUCAGUGGCGAACGGGUGAGUAACACGUGAGCAACCUGCCCCUGACUCUGGGAUAAGCGCUGGAAACGGCGUCUAAUACUGGAUACGAGUAGCGACCGCAUGGUCAGUUACUGGAAAGAUUUAUUGGUUGGGGAUGGGCUCGCGGCCUAUCAGCUUGUUGGUGAGGUAAUGGCUCACCAAGGCGUCGACGGGUAGCCGGCCUGAGAGGGUGACCGGCCACACUGGGACUGAGACACGGCCCAGACUCCUACGGGAGGCAGCAGUGGGGAAUAUUGCACAAUGGGCGCAAGCCUGAUGCAGCAACGCCGCGUGAGGGAUGACGGCCUUCGGGUUGUAAACCUCUUUUAGCAGGGAAGAAGCGAAAGUGACGGUACCUGCAGAAAAAGCGCCGGCUAACUACGUGCCAGCAGCCGCGGUAAUACGUAGGGCGCAAGCGUUAUCCGGAAUUAUUGGGCGUAAAGAGCUCGUAGGCGGUUUGUCGCGUCUGCUGUGAAAUCCGGAGGCUCAACCUCCGGCCUGCAGUGGGUACGGGCAGACUAGAGUGCGGUAGGGGAGAUUGGAAUUCCUGGUGUAGCGGUGGAAUGCGCAGAUAUCAGGAGGAACACCGAUGGCGAAGGCAGAUCUCUGGGCCGUAACUGACGCUGAGGAGCGAAAGGGUGGGGAGCAAACAGGCUUAGAUACCCUGGUAGUCCACCCCGUAAACGUUGGGAACUAGUUGUGGGGUCCAUUCCACGGAUUCCGUGACGCAGCUAACGCAUUAAGUUCCCCGCCUGGGGAGUACGGCCGCAAGGCUAAAACUCAGAGAAUAUAUAGAC